CCCCAACCCCGCCUGGGGCCUGGUUCUCCUGCAGAGCAGAGUGUAGGUGCAGAGGCUUUGUGACAGCAUCGUGCGUCCCUGGCUUUGUGAAACUCAAGGCUGGGGGACAGUGGGGAGGGGUUCUCCAGGAGGACAGAGCUAGCAGCCCCUCCCCUGGCUGGGCCUGCCCUGCCUCCCUGGCCAUGUCCUUGGCAGGGUGGGGGUGGGGGGUGAGGGGGGAUGGUGAGGGUCUUACCUGCUUCCUGUACUGUGGAAGCCAUGGCCAGCCUCACAGUGGUGCCCAGGCGUGGCGGCGGGGACGGGUCUGGGGUAGGCAGGGGAAAGCCCCCUUACGCUGCAGCAGCAGAUAGGCAGCGCCCAGCAUGAAGGAACGAGCGAGGAGAAGGCGGGUGGGCAGGAGCCAUCCCAUGAGUGGGCAGGGCUGGGCCUCCAGGGCCACAGAAUGCAGCCUCACAAUCCCGCCCGGCCGCCAGGGUUCUCGGGUUCUGAGCCUGGAGUCUGCCCCCCGCUAGGGGGACGUUCUGGGCAGACAUCACCAAGGGGACCCCUGGUUAAGUGGUGGCUUUUGGGGGGGAUCGGGGGCUGUGCUGCCGGCCACAGGAAGACAAAGUGGGAGGGAGCGCCCAAGGGCCAGGGCCCUUCCCGCAUCCCCGUCGCAGCUCUCAGAAGGGGGGUGCGUGUGCCAGCCUCUCCCCCAGGACAAGGCUGCCCCAGGGCUGUGUGUGAGGCCCGGGCCACAUCCCGGGUCCAGGGCAGCAGGUCCUUCAGCCUGGCUCCCGCAGGGGGACCUGUAGCAGGUGCGGCGGGCGGCCCGGCAGUCUCCGCCUCUGUACUGCACCCCGCACCGUCUGGGAGAGCGUAGCUGACAUCAGGCGAAGAUGGACCUUGUGGAACAACCCUUGGUCUUCGCACCAAAACGAAACUUUGGAAGCACUCUUGGGACGCGAAAACCGAUUUCUCCCUCUGAACCACAUCCUGGGAUUAACCAGCACCUUCAUUAAAGCAGCAGACUGGCACCUCUGACCAGCUGAGCCCAGGCGCUGGGGCUAGACUGACUCGGGGACAGGCCCGCAUCAAGAUGGCGCCUCCCGGGGCUAUUCAAGCCGAGGCCGCUGGUGGGCCGGGGACGUAGAUAUCACCCACGGCCUCCACCACACCCGCCCUCUAGGCGGGUUCUGGCUGUUGGCAGCCCCAUCACGCCCUGGUCUCGCUCACAGUAUUACAUAACCCGACUUUGGUUUUA